rnacentral:rRNA from 1 species
CCUUAGGAAAUUAAUCUAAGGUUAAACCUGCCCAAUGUGAAAAUAUAUGAAUGGCCGCGGUACUUUGACCGUGCUAAGGUAGCGCAAUCAAUUGGCUUUUAAUUGAAGCCAUGUAUGAAUGGAAUCACGGGGUUCAGCUGUCUCUUAACUAAUUUAUCGAAAUUACUAUUUAGGUGAAAAAGCCUACAGAGAGAAAAAAGACGAGAAGACCCUUAGAGUUUUACUAAAAUUAAAGAAGAAUUUUUAAUACAGUUUAGUUGGGGCAACAUAGGAGCAAAAUAAACCUCCUCUAAAACACCUACCGAUUUUAAUAAAUAUGAACAAACUACCUUAGGGAUAACAGCAUAAUUUUAUAAAUAAGUUUGUGACCUCGAUGUUGGACUAGGAAACUAAUAGGCUAGCCGCCUCUUAGGGAAGUUCUGUUCGAACUAUUAUUCCU